CGGCUAGCCUGGGCAGCCUAUUCCAAUCUCGAGUUUGCCUUCAAAAUGAAACUUAAGGCCGAACAAAAAGCACGCAUAUUUGAUCAAUGUAUCCUGCCUGUUCUCACUUAUGGAGCUGAAACCUGGGUUUUCACCAAAGGCAUAUUACAGAAAACUGGUGGGGAUCACAUUGAGAGACCGUAAAACGAAUGAGUGGCUGAGACAGCAGAG